CUGUGCCAGGUUGCAAGCUGGGGCACAUGGGCAGGGACUCUUUCCCCCAGCAACAGUAACAGAGGACUUUGUUGUGCCUGAGAAAUCAGUUUGUUUAUUUAGUGUCUGGUGCAUUCUUUUCUCCUGUGCAGUUUUUUAUUAUGCAUGGGAGCAAUAAUGUUUUUCAUUUCUGCUGCAAGCUACUUUGGAGUUGCGUGCGUCAUUGACUGCAGGGAGCUGGGAUCUGCUUUGAAGCCCUGUAAGGUGAAAGGCGAAAAGCAGCUCAGGGAGCAUGGCCCAUGCAUGGAGGAUAUCUGGCUACUGGUAUCUGCAGGUGCAAUGCUAGGACUUCAGAGAAACAGUAAAGCAAAACAUUGCUCUUGCUGUGAGAGAUUAAAUGGGAAAAACAAUCUUUGGAAGAUAAAAAUGUUAAAUAUUCAGUACAUGUUUAGGAGGGUAACUGGUACCUCUAAUAACAGCCAGAAGCAAACAGAGAGCACAGCACAUGCUUCUAUGCACCACAGUAUGGCAUGCACAUUAUGUUUUCUGCCAGACAAGAUUUCUCAACAUGUUUCAAAGAUAGCCUCAAGAAAAGUGUUUUUAGUAGUCCAGAUGUGAAGCUAAAAAUGCAAAGAAAAGAACUGCACAGUCACCAUUAGAAGUCAACAUUCUCUACCUAUCUCACUGUGCUUUCUAAGGAGCCUGUUACUUUCACUCCGUGUGCUGUGCUGAACUGCAGAGAUCUUGGUUAUGAUGGUUUUGUUGCAGAGUUGAUGGAGGGUUCAAGGAGCUGACAUCUGGCUGAUACCUGAUUCUUCACUGUGAGUGCAGAAGCGUUAGGAGAUGCAGCCCCACAUUAUUAUAUUUUACUUCGCAAGAGCUUCAUCUCCAACAUAUUACCCUGCAAAGCUCUUUGUCAUUUUAACACUUCUGCUUCAUCUGCUUUUGUGUUCUCAUUGAAUAUAUUUGUGGUGUCUAGGAGUUACUGCUAGUAUCUGUGUUUUUCAGAAACUGAAGAAAGCCACUUAACUCUGUGGAAAUAUACAUUUUCUUUUUCACACAUGCAUUGUUAUUAAUUAGUUUUAAAGAUACCAUGUUUGUUUUAAAGAUUAUUGCAGAACUGUUCUGAUGCUGUUGACAAAAGCGUUAAGUAAUAUUUUUCUAUCGUUGUGUCAAUAAUUCAUAGGAUAUUGCAAAGAUUAUGUUCUGUUUAAAUGAACUUAAUUAUCUGUUGCCCUUUCACUUCCCAAGCUUUUUUACAUAAAUGUUAAAAAGAAAAUUAAAAAAAUCUUAUUUCUUAUCCACAUAGGUUUGCAAGUGUUAGUAGGAAGUUCAAUAACAAGAGCUGAGUAAAAUCUAAAAUUCUUGACUAGCAGCUUUAAUUCUGUUCUAAAAGCAUAGAUAUGCACAGAUAACUUUCUGCACCUGUCAAAACCUCUUUUGUAGCCAUCACUUUAUUUAUUUUACCACCUUAUUCAUGUCCUUUAAAUUCAAGUCUUCUACACAGAAGAGCUGUGUCUCAUCAUGCUGUGGACUGAGUAGGUGAGAUAAGCCCAUUUUCCCAUAAGAAGGUGUUUCAGGAGGAGAAAUAAUCGGUGGAGGAAGAGAAUAAUUUCCUAAGUGGCAUUUCAUCUUUAUUGAAAGUUUCGAUGCUUUUGUUACACGACUGUCAUCUUUCAAAUUCAAGAGUUCCAUCUAGAGGAAUACUAUUUCAUGAACUUGGUUUUGCUGGCUUUUUAAUGUGACAUAUUUCCUGGCUGAAAAUAGACUAAUUAAUUUUUUCUUCUCAGCUUUUUUUUUAAAAAAAAUUAUUUUUUCUUUUAUUAUUAUUAUUAUUAUUAUUUUUAUUUUGACUACCUACAAAUUCCAUUGUUUCUUCCUGGCAGUCUUUGGAACAACACUUUACCAUCAGUAUUCCCUGCUUAUACUUAAGAUAUUGUCUCCAUACUUCUGCUUACCAAGGGCACUGAAGAAAGAGAAAUUCUGGUCAUGUCUGACUGUCACUUAUGAAUUUGUAGUGCAGAAAGUUGCAAGGCUCAGGUUUUCCUAUCAACAGAAAUAAAAUAUAUCCUUAAGCAAAAAAUAUUUAGAGU
rnacentral:lncRNA from 1 species